CAAGAACAAAUUUCAUAUGACGAGAUGACUAAAGCUGAUGCAUUUGAGGAGAACAAGUCCGUGGGUAUGAAGUAACAAGAGCUUUCAAGUACUGUAGUCCAUCAUACAAGCCAACAAACUGCAGCUUUAGUAAUACCCAAACCAUUCAAGCCACCCCGGUAUAAACAAAACGCUGCACACAAACAACCAUGGAAGCCAUCAUUCAAGUCUUCCACAUCCCAACAACAAGAUGCAACUCAAGUCUAGGCCUCCUCCACCAACUUAGCCAAGUCAUCUGCAGCCACCAAUCCCAAAAGUUAAUAUUAGAGCUCCACCACGAUGGACAGAGAGACAGGAGGUAUUUUCAAAACAGCCUUUACAACCAGAGACCAAAUCUCUUAUGUAAACAUGUACAUUUUUGGAGACGGAUGUCAAGAAGUAUGUUACAUUAUCACGAUUGAACAAUGUGUUAUCACAAUUGAAGGACAAGGGAGACAAGGGCAAGAAGAAAGA